rnacentral:rRNA from 1 species
UACGUAGGUGGCAAGCGUUAUCCGGAUUUAUUGGGCGUAAAGAGAACGCAGGCGGUCUUUUAAGUCUGAUGUGAAAGCCUUCGGCUUAACCGGAGUAGUGCAUUGGAAACUGGGAGACUUGAGUGCAGAAGAGGAGAGUGGAACUCCAUAUGUAGCGGUGAAAUGCGUAGAUAUAUGGAAGAACACCAGUGGCGAAAGCGGCUCUCUGGUCUGUAACUGACGCUGAGGUUCGAAAGCGUGGGUAGCAAACAGG